ACAGAGACACAAGAAUGGAAGAAAUUUCACGCCGUAAGUGCAAGCCUAUGUCACUACACUAGUAAUCUUGUUGGGAAGGUCAAGUGUACUUGCAGACCUGAAAGAUAGGCUCCAUGGACAUAGCCAUUGUAGUGCUCGCUGGUGUGCUCGCCGGUGAAGUAUACCCUCCCAACCGGUGCCCUAAGCUGGUCGUAUUCGUAGCGGUUGACGCCAACUGGCCAGUUGGAGAAGGUGCCCUUGUAGAACCUGUCGGACCACCACCUCGGGACAAGGAUGUCGGUGGCGUCCGGGACGUCCUUGCCGGGGAACA
rnacentral:lncRNA from 1 species